GGGGGGGGGGGGAAGCCUGUUGGUGUUUCAUUGUCGCUGAGGGAGAGAGGUUUGUCUAUAUUGGUCUGCAGUGGCGAAUAUCUAUGUCGGUGAAGGGUUGGUUUUGUGGUGCUGAAUGGCUGGUGUUGCUUCUAUAAAAGAGGUGGUUGAUAAAGUUAUUCAUUUUCAGAAGGAGUAGGGGAGAAAGAUAACAAUAGAGAAUCC
rnacentral:lncRNA from 1 species